rnacentral:rRNA from 1 species
AGUGAACGCUGGCGGCAGGCCUAACACAUGCAAGUCGAGCGGCAGCGGGUCGUAGCAAUACGAUGCCGGCGAGCGGCGAACGGGUGAGGAACACAUCGGAAUCUACCCAGUCGUGGGGGAUAACGUAGGGAAACUUACGCUAAUACCGCAUACGACCUGAGGGCGAAAGCAGGGGACCGCAAGGCCUUGCGCGAAUGGAUGAGACCAUGUCGUAUUAGCUAGUUGGUGAGGUAAAGGCUCACAAAGGCGACGAUCCGUAGCUGGUCUGAGAGGAUGAUCAGCCACACCGGAACUGAGACACGGUCCAGACUCCUACGGGAGGCAGCAGUGGGGAAUAUUGGACAAUGGGCGCAAGCCUGAUCCAGCCAUGCCGCGUGUGUGAAGAAGGCCUUCGGGUUGUAAAGCACUUUUGUCCGGGAAGAAAUCUUCCGACCUAAUACGUCGGGAGGAUGACGGUACCGGAAGAAUAAGCACCGGCUAACUACGUGCCAGCAGCCGCGGUAAGAC